rnacentral:rRNA from 1 species
CCUACGGGGGACAGCAGUGAGGAAUAUUGGUCAAUGGACGAGAGUCUGAACCAGCCAAGUAGCGUGAAGGAUGACUGCCCUAUGGGUUGUAAACUUCUUUUAUAUGGGAAUAAACUGUUCCACGUGUGGGAUUUUGUAUGUACCAUAUGAAUAAGGAUCGGCUAACUCCGUGCCAGCAGCCGCGGUAAUACGGAGGAUCCGAGCUUUAUCCGGAUUGAUUGGGUUUAAAGGGAGCGUAGGUGGAUUGUUAAGGCAGUUGUGAAAGUUUGCGGCUCAACCGUAAAAUUGCAGUUGAAACUGGCAGUCUUGAGUACAGUAGAGGUGGGCGGAAUUCGUGGUGUAGCGGUGAAAUGCUUAGAUAUCACGAAGAACUCCGAUUGCGAAGGCAGCUCACUGGACUGCAACUGACACUGAGGCUCGAAAGUGUGGGUAUCAAACAGGAUUAGAUACCCCAGUAGUC